rnacentral:rRNA from 2 species
UUAAAAUGAGAGUUUGAUCCUGGCUCAGGACGAACGUUGGCGGCGUGCCUAAUACAUGCAAGUCGAACGAAGUCGCCCAAUUGAUUCUUAGUGCUUGCACUAAGAUGAUUUUGGAUCCGACUGAGUGGCGAACUGGUGAGUAACACGUGGGUAACCUGCCCAGAAGAAGGGGAUAACACCUGGAAACAGAUGCUAAUACCGUAUAACAACAAGAACCACAUGGUUCU